rnacentral:lncRNA from 1 species
UUAACAAUCUUCAAAACAUCCAAAACCUUUCUUCCCAUCUUCUUCCCGGCACUCAUAACCUUCCCUAUAUACUCCUAUAAUUCAAAUCUUGUAUGUGUGUUUCAGCUUGAACAUAAAGAAAAACCAUCCCAUUUUCUAUGAGAUACAAAAAAAAAAAAAACUAAAUAAAUAAACAAAAACUAAAAAGAUCAAUGCAUCAGUUUCCAGAUUGCACUAGAAACUUCAAUCGCCUUGUCCAAGAUUGAGCCUCUUUUCGAAAAAUUGAGUAGGGAAAAAACCUCGUCCAAACUCUCCAACCUGAAGUGUUUACUCAAAAUCGAUGGAUCCAUCACCACAAUGUAAAAUCAGCCUCCGAAAGAGAUUAAUGUAUAAGAAACCAAACUACCAUUCACCUAAGAAUGGAAGAUUAUCAGAGAGAGAGAGAGCAUAAC